rnacentral:rRNA from 1 species
GACGAACGCUGGCGGCGCGCUUAACACAUGCAAGUCGAGCGAAGCGGCGGACGGGUGAGUAACACGAGAGUAACCUGCCUUAGACAUUGGGAUAGCCUCGGGAAAACGGGAUUAAUACCACAUGGUCUAAGAUGGACUCGCGUCCCAUUAGCUAGUUGGUGGGUAACGGCCCACCAAGGCGACGAUGCGUAGCCGGCCUGGGGGGGUGAACGGGCACAUUGGAACUGGGAAACGUUCCAAACUCUACGGGAGGGAGCAGUGGGGAAUUUUCAACAAUGGAGGGAACUCUGAUGCAGCGACGCCGCGUGAACGAGGAAGUCUUUCGAGUCGUAAAGUUCUUUUAUAUGGGAAGCGGUACCAUAAGAAAAAGCCCCGGCUAACUACGUGCCAGCAGCCGCGGUAAUAC